UACGAAGGGGGCUAGCGUUGUUCGGAUUUACUGGGCGUAAAGCGCACGUAGGCGGAUCGUUAAGUCAGGGGUGAAAUCCUGGAGCUCAACUCCAGAACUGCCUUUGAUACUGGCGAUCUCGAGUCCGGAAGAGGUGAGUGGAACUCCUAGUGUAGAGGUGGAAUUCGUAGAUAUUAGGAAGAACACCAGUGGCGAAGGCGGCUCACUGGUCCGGAACUGACGCUGAGGCGCGAAAGCGUGGGGAGCAAACAGGG
rnacentral:rRNA from 1 species